AAACAAAAAACAAACAAACAAAAAAAAAACCCAAAACAAAAAAAAAUAUCUGUUUUUCUAGUAAUGUUCUUUCUCUGGGCAGUACGUAUGUGUGCCACUAGAUGUCCUGGCAGCAUCAGCCCUUGCACCACACGGAGCAACAACACAGAUUGCAAACAUCGGAUAAUUUAUUCUAAAAAACUCCAGUUAGAUAUUUUCUUGGAGUUUGGCAGGGGGUGGGGAAGUUGCGGGGGCUUUUUUGGGGUUUUUAUUUUGGGGUGUUUCUUAAGAUUGUAAUUAUUAUAAUCCCUUUGCACGGACCACCUCGGAAACCUGGGGAGUUUUGACUCCUGAGAAACAGCUGCAGCACAGGCUGUCGUGCCGGUAACAAGUAUCAGGAGCACUUGGACUGCUAGAGUGGUUAAGAAAUUCCCCUGUAAUUCUGAGAUGUGGUUCACCUGCAAAGCCUUUUUUAGUCUGAGAAUGCUUCCUUUGAGAGCUCCCUUCAGAACCUUCCAUCAGAAGAAUCAUCCUUAUCCUGAGGAAGAUUUCUAGCAAUGAGGGAUUUUUAUGCAACAGAAUGGAAAUUUUCUGAAGAUCUUUAUUUUUUUUUUUUAAUAUUUCUUUGCCAUCUAUUCGGAUAUUGUAGUACCUGGUAACAGCCAAGCAUCAGUGGAAGAAGUGCAUUAAUCUAGGAGAGAUAAUGCUUGUUGUAGCAGCUGGUCAGUUUCUAUCUUCUCACAUCAAAAGCAUCCCCGCCCUUUAUGAGCAGAAGCCUUUUACCUCAGCUGAAAAGCAGAAAUGCAAAAUGGGAUUAAGUGACACAGCUCAAAUAAAUGACAGAGGAUGACAAAAUAAAUAUUUUUC